CCUACGGGUGGCAGCAGUGGGGAAUAUUGGACAAUGGGGGGAACCCUGAUCCAGCCAUGCCGCGUGUGUGAAGAAGGCCCUCGGGUUGUAAAGCACUUUCAGUGAGGAAGAACGCCUGGUGGUUAAUACCCAACAGGAAAGACAUCACUCACAGAAGAAGCACCGGCUAACUCCGUGCCAGCAGCCGCGGUAAUACGGAGGGUGCGAGCGUUAAUCGGAAUUACUGGGCGUAAAGCGCGCGUAGGUGGCUUGAUAAGCCGGUUGUGAAAGCCCCGGGCUCAACCUGGGAACGGCAUCCGGAACUGUCAAGCUAGAGUGCAGGAGAGGAAGGUAGAAUUCCCGGUGUAGCGGUGAAAUGCGUAGAGAUCGGGAGGAAUACCAGUGGCGAAGGCGGCCUUCUGGACUGACACUGACACUGAGGUGCGAAAGCGUGGGUAGCAAACAGGAUUAGAUACCCGUGUAGUC
rnacentral:rRNA from 1 species